rnacentral:rRNA from 1 species
AUUGAACGCUGGCGGCAGGCUUAACACAUGCAAGUCGAGCGGGGUGAUGGUGCUUGCACUAUCACUUAGCGGCGGACGGGUGAGUAAUGCUUAGGAAUCUGCCUAUUAGUGGGGGACAACAUCUCGAAAGGGAUGCUAAUACCGCAUACGUCCUACGGGAGAAAGCAGGGGAUCACUUGUGACCUUGCGCUAAUAGAUGAGCCUAAGUCGGAUAAGCUAGUUGGUGGGGUAAAGGCCUACCAAGGCGACGAUCUGGAGCGGGUCUGAGAGGGUGAGCCGCCACACUGGGACUGAGACACGGCCCAGACUCCUACGGGAGGCAGCAGUGGGGAAUAUUGGACAAUGGGGGGAACCCUGAUCCAGCCAUGCCGCGUGUGUGAAGAAGGCCUUAUGGUUGUAAAGCACUUUAAGCGAGGAAGAGGCUCUUUUGGUUAAUACCCAAGAUGAGUGGACGUUACUCGCAGAAUAAGCACCGGCUAACUCUGUGCCAGCCGCCGCCGUAA